GAUGAACGCUGGCGGCGUGCCUAAUACAUGCAAGUCGAGCGAACGGACGAGAAGCUUGCUUCUCUGAUGUUAGCGGCGGACGGGUGAGUAACACGUGGAUAACCUACCUAUAAGACUGGGAUAACUUCGGGAAACCGGAGCUAAUACCGGAUAAUAUUUUGAACCGCAUGGUUCAAAAGUGAAAGACGGUCUUGCUGUCACUUAUAGAUGGAUCCGCGCUGCAUUAGCUAGUUGGUAAGGUAACGGCUUACCAAGGCAACGAUGCAUAGCCGACCUGAGAGGGGGAUCGGCCACACUGGAACUGAGACACGGUCCAGACGCCUACGGGAGGCAGCAGUAGGGAAUCUUCGGCAAUGGGCGAAAGCCUGACGGAGCAACGCCGCGUGAGUGAUGAAGGUCUUCGGAUCGUAAAGCUCUGUUAUUAGGGAAGAACAUAUGUGUAAGUAACUGUGCACAUCUUGACGGUACCUAAUCAAAAAGCCACGGCUAACUACGUG
rnacentral:rRNA from 1 species